GAUGUAGGAGUAUCGGGCCAGAGGCAUCAGGAGCAGAGUGGCAGGCUACGGCUGUCUCGAAGGUGCAUCGAUCGAACAGGUGGACAUACCUGUAGGUGUCCCAUUUGUGGUCAAGUGUAUGCUGAUGUAGCCCAGCACCCAAGGUCCACAGAAAAGGUUACUGAAUCUGCUCUUUUACCCAAACUUUCUCACUGACACUUUACUUUGAGACAGCAGUAGCCUGCUUCUGAUGCCUCUGGCCUGAUGCUCCUACAUCCACCACCUGUCCAGUUCAAUUCUGCAAGGCUAAAUACAUUAGACUAGACAAGCACCUGCAAAAAAUCCACAAACUUGAGAAACCUACCAUCACUCUCUACAUGCAGAGAGGAUAGAUGUUACAAAGGAACUGGCACUCCUGAGAGCUUCAAGCCCGCUCUUCAAGCCACACCAAAUGUGUGCCUCCUUCAAAAUCUAGUCAGGCCCAGAAGAGGGCAUGAGUUUGCCAGCCCAAAUUUGUCUUCUCCUUAUCACUCUGCAGUCAAA